CAGAAAGAGAGAAGCUUUCCUAGCCUGAAGCUGCUGGAGAAGUGUAUCUGUGCCAAAAUUGAGAAACAGGGAAAAUUCCUGCAGUUCCACACAACACAUGGGGAGAAAGACUCUUGUGUCUGGAGCCAGGAUGGCAGACGGCACCCGCCCCUCUGGCAGCUACACUUUGCUGAAUGCAUUUCAGAGAUUACAGCUUUUCGCCCCUAUUCUUCUGGGAGCUGAGCAUCUACACAUCCCCCUUGAGUAACUUCCACUGCAGCCCUUUUCUGGUGAUUUUUCAGAGCAAUGAAGCCAUGAGUGCAAAGGGAAUCAGUGAGCAGCAGAUACAAGAACUGUCUUGACAGUUGAAACUGGAAAUAAACUACUGCAGGUCAGUGAAUUCUAACCUCUC
rnacentral:lncRNA from 14 species